AGAGUUUGAUCAUGGCUCAGAUUGAACGCUGGCGGAAUGCUUUACACAUGCAAGUCGAACGGCAGCACGGGUGCUUGCACCUGGUGGCGAGUGGCGAACGGGUGAGUAAUGCGUCGGAACGUACCGAGUAAUGGGGGAUAACGCGGCGAAAGUCGCGCUAAUACCGCAUACGCCCUGAGGGGGAAAGUGGGGGAUCGCAAGACCUCACGUUAUUCCAGCGGCCGACGUCUGAUUAGCUAGUUGGUGGGGUAAUGGCCUACCAAGGCGACGAUCAGUAGCGGGUCUGAGAGGAUGAUCCGCCACACUGGGACUGAGACACGGCCCAGACUCCUACGGGAGGCAGCAGUGGGGAAUUUUGGACAAUGGGGGCAACCCUGAUCCAGCCAUUCCGCGUGAGUGAAGAAGGCCUUCGGGUUGUAAAGCUCUUUCAGCUGGAACGAAACGGUACAGGUUAAUACCCUGUGCUAAUGACGGUACCGGCAGAAGAAGCACCGGCUAACUACGUGCCAGCAGCCGCGGUAAUACGUAGGGUGCGAGCGUUAAUCGGAAUUACUGGGCGUAAAGCGUGCGCAGGCGGAUUGUUAAGCAAGAUGUGAAAUCCCCGGGCUUAACCUGGGAAUGGCAUUUUGAACUGGCCGUCGUUUUAC
rnacentral:rRNA from 1 species